rnacentral:rRNA from 1 species
CGCGGCCUAUCAGCUUGUUGGUGAGGUAAUGGCUCACCAAGGCUUCGACGGGUAGCCGGCCAGAGAGGGCGACCGGCCACACUGGGACUGAGAUACGGCCCAGACUCCUACGGGAGGCAGCAGUGGGGAAUAUUGCACAAUGGGCGCAAGCCUGAUGCAGCAACGCCGCGUGCGGGAUGACGGCCUUCGGGUUGUAAACCGCUUUCAGUAGGGACGAAGCGCAAGUGACGGUACCUACAGAAGAAGGACCGGCUAACUACGUGCCAGCAGCCGCGGUGAUACGUAGGGUCCGAGCGUUGUCCGGAAUUAUUGGGCGUAAAGGGCUUGUAGGCGGUCCGUCGCGUCAGGAGUGAAAACUCAGGGCUUAACCCUGAGCCUGCUUUUGAUACGGGCGGACUAGAGGGAUGCAGGGGAGAACGGAAUUCCUGGUGGAGCGGUGGAAUGCGCAGAUAUCAGGAGGAACACCGGUGGCGAAGGCGGUUCUCUGGGCAUUACCUGACGCUGAGAAGCGAAAGCGUGGGGAGCAAACAGGCUUAGAUACCCUGGUAGUCCACGCCGUAAACGGUGGGCACUAGGUGUGGGGGACAUUCCACGUUCUCCGUGCCGAAGCUAACGCAUUAAGUGCCCCGCCUGGGGAGUACGG